rnacentral:rRNA from 1 species
UGGGGCUAAUCCCCCAUAGGCCUGAGGUACUGGAAGGUCCUCAGGCCGAAAGGGGCUCUGCCCGCCCGAGGAUGGGCCGGCGGCCGAUUAGGUAGUUGGUGGGGUAACGGCCCACCAAGCCGAAGAUCGGUACGGGCCAUGAGAGUGGGAGCCCGGAGAUGGACACUGAGACACGGGUCCAGGCCCUACGGGGCGCAGCAGGCGCGAAACCUCCGCAAUGCGGGCAACCGCGACGGGGGGACCCCCAGUGCCGUGGCAACGCCACGGCUUUUCCGGAGUGUAAAAAGCUCCGGGAAUAAGGGCUGGGCAAGGCCGGUGGCAGCCGCCGCGGUAAUACCGGCGGCCCGAGUGGUGGCCGCUAUUAUUGGGCCUAAAGCGUCCGUAGCCGGGCCCGUAAGUCCCUGGCGAAAUCCCACGGCUCAACCGUGGGGCUUGCUGGGGAUACUGCGGGCCUUGGGACCGGGAGAGGCCGGGGGUACCCCUGGGGUAGGGGUGAAAUCCUAUAAUCCCAGGGGGACCGCCAGUGGCGAAGGCGCCCGGCUGGAACGGGUCCGACGGUGAGGGACGAAGGCCAGGGGAGCGAACCGGAUUAGAUACCCGGGUAGUCCUGGCUGUAAAGGAUGCGGGCUAGGUGUCGGGCGAGCUUCGAGCUCG